rfam:Triticum urartu cultivar G1812 contig481566, whole genome shotgun sequence.
GAGAUAUUCCCUCCGUCCGAAUAUACUUGUCAUCAAAAUGGAUAGGAAAGCAUGUAUCUAGAACUAAAAUACAUCUAAAUACAUCACCUUUUAUUCAUUUUGAUGACAAGUAUUUUCGUACGGAGGGAGUAUCAA